UACGGAGGAUGCGAGCGUUAUCCGGAUUUAUUGGGUUUAAAGGGUGCGCAGGCGGCACGGCAAGCCGGCGGUCAAAUCGCGGGGCUCAACCCCGCCCAGCCGUCGGAACUGCCGGGCUAGAGUGGGCGAGAAGUGCGCGGGAUGCGUGGUGUAGCGGUGAAAUGCAUAGAUAUCACGCAGAACUCCGAUUGCGAAGGCAGCGCACCGGCGCCCUACUGACGCUCAGGCACGAAAGCGUGGGUAUCGAACAGG
rnacentral:rRNA from 1 species